rnacentral:rRNA from 1 species
AGUGAACGCUGGCGGUAGGCCUAACACAUGCAAGUCGAACGGCAGCACAGUAAGAGCUUGCUCUUACGGGUGGCGAGUGGCGGACGGGUGAGGAAUACAUCGGAAUCUACUUUUUCGUGGGGGAUAACGUAGGGAAACUUACGCUAAUACCGCAUACGACCUACGGGUGAAAGCAGGGGAUCUUAGGACCUUGCGCGAUAGAAUGAGCCGAUGUCGGAUUAGCUAGUUGGCGGGGUAAAGGCCCACCAAGGCGACGAUCCGUAGCUGGUCUGAGAGGAUGAUCAGCCACACUGGAACUGAGACACGGUCCAGACUCCGACGGGAGGCAGCAGUGGGGAAUAUUGGACAAUGGGCGAAAGCCUGAUCCAGCCAUACCGCGUGGGUGAAGAAGGCCUGCGGGUUGGAAAGCCCUGUUGUUGGGAAAGAAAAGCAGCAGGUUAAGACCCCGCUGUUCUGACGGUACCCAAAGAAUAAGCACCGGCUAACUUCGUG